GAUGAAGAACGUAGCGAAAUGCGAUACGUAAUGUGAAUUGCAGAAUUCUGUGAAUCAUCGAGUCUUUGAACGCACAUUGCGCCCCCUGGUAUUCCGGGGGGCAUGCCUGUCCGAGCGUCAUUGCUGCCCUCAAGCACGGCUUGUGUGUUGGGCCUCCGUCCUCCUCCCGGGGGACGGGCCCGAAAGGCAGCGGCGGCACCGCGUCCGGUCCUCGAGCGUAUGGGGCUUCGUCACCCGCUCUUGUAGGCCCGGCCGGCGCUUGCCGACACAUCAAUCUUUUUUCCAGGUUGACCUCGGAUCAGGUAGGGAUACCCGCUGAACUUAAGCAUAUCAAUAAGCGGAGGA
rnacentral:misc_RNA from 1 species